rnacentral:rRNA from 1 species
UACGUAGGGUGCGAGCGUUAAUCGGAAUUACUGGGCGUAAAGGGUGCGCAGGCGGUUAUAUAAGACAGAUGUGAAAUCCCCGGGCUCAACCUGGGAAUUGCGUUUGUGACUGUAUGACUAGAGUACGGUAGAGAGGGGUGGAAUUCCUGGUGUAGCAGUGAAAUGCGUAGAUAUCAGGAGGAACAUCGAUGGCGAAGGCAGCCCCUUGGACCUGUACUGACGCUCAUGCACGAAAGCGUGGGGAGCAAACAGG